AGGGAAGCACCCAAACCUGCCGGUAAACAAGGCAUAAACACGCAUGCAGAGGUAAACACACAAUGCUCCACGGAAGGAAACCAAUAACUCCUGCUGAUGAAUGACAGAUAACUUAUAAUUCUAUGCAUCAAACUACCUAGCUGAAGGUACUGUCUCACUUGAAUCAACUGCCUCGUCUAUUGUAUCUGCUUUUGAGUUCUUCUCUUCUGUGAUGCAGUCUGAACUAUCAGGAUGAGACGAAUGAGAUGAGUCCUGGAAGGAGCUGGUCAGAUCAGGCUUGAACAUCUCAUCAUUCUCCAAGUUGGAAAGCUUCUCAGCAGAUUCUCCCUUGAGCAGCUCAACGACUUCAGACAUUAUCGGCCUCUG
rnacentral:lncRNA from 1 species